AAGUCGUAACAAGGUUUCCGUAGGUGAACCUGCGGAAGGAUCAUUACCGAUUUUUAGCGGACCUGGUCUUUGAUCAUGGUCUCGCGAAAACUUGUAUUUAAAACCCCACUCUUAUAAAUUUGAAUCAUUUUAUUAUAUGUAUAAUAAAUAAAGAUCACUUUCAACAACGGAUCUCUUGGCUCUC
rnacentral:misc_RNA from 1 species